AACGAACGCUGGCGGCAUGCCUAACACAUGCAAGUCGAACGAGACCUUCGGGUCUAGUGGCGCACGGGUGCGCAACGCGUGGGAACCUGCCCUUAGGUUCGGAAUAACUCCCCGAAAGGGGUGCUAAUACCGGAUAAUGUCUUCGGACCAAAGAUUUAUCGCCUUUGGAUGGGCCCGCGUUGGAUUAGCUAGUUGGUAGGGUAAAAGCCUACCAAGGCGACGAUCCAUAGCUGGUCUGAGAGGAUGAUCAGCUACACUGGGACUGAGACACGGCCCAGACUCCUACGGGAGGCAGCAGUGGGGAAUAUUGGACAAUGGGCGAAAGCCUGAUCCAGCAAUGCCGCGUGAGUGAUGAAGGCCUUAGGGUUGUAAAGCUCUUUUACCCGGGAUGAUAAUGACAGUACCGGGAGAAUAAGCUCCGGCUAACUCCGUG
rnacentral:rRNA from 1 species